CUUUUAAGAUGAAAGGAUAUGCAUGUUAUUUGGGUGACAGAAGGAAGUGACUCCAGGGCAAGAUAAAGGGCAUUGUGAAGACCAGCAAACAGCAGAAAGUCUGGCACAUACAAAGCUCUCAUGAUAUCUGACUAAAUAAUGGUGGCAGUAGUAGAAGCUUCAGCAGCAGCAGCUGAAAGAAUAUAAAAUGUGAAGGAAGAAGAAUCAAGAGUGAGCCUUAAGUUUUUGGCUUGAGUAACUGAAGGAGUGACAGUGUGUAUUAUUAACUGAGUUGCGGA
rnacentral:lncRNA from 1 species